GACGAACGCUGGCGGCGUGCCUAACACAUGCAAGUCGAGCGGAGUUUAACGAGCGGCGACUUCGGUCAAAGCUUGUUGAACUUAGCGGCGGACGGGUGAGUAACACGUAGGCAACCUGCCCAUGACACGGGGAUAGCUUCGGGAAACCGGAGGUAAUACCCGAUACCUUUACUUGCCGCAUGGUGAGUAAAGAAAGCGAUUUAGCGGUCAUGGAUGGGCCUGCGUCCCAUUAGCUAGUUGGUGAGAUAACAGCCCACCAAGGCGACGAUGGGUAGCCGACCUGAGAGGGUGACCGGCCACACUGGAACUUAGACACGGUCCAGACUCCUACGGGAGGCAGCAGUGGGGAAUAUUGCGCAAUGGGCGAAAGCCUGACGCAGCGACGCCGCGUGAGCGAAGAAGGCCUUCGGGUCGUAAAGCUCAGUCAUUGGGGAUGAUAAGGACAGUACCCAAGGAGGAAGCCCCGGCUAACUAC
rnacentral:rRNA from 1 species